UAGCAACUUUCACUGUGGAUGUCGACGGUGGACGACAGGACGGCUAAAACAAGGUUAUGUGUUUCAAAAGGAUAUCAUGACCCCGUGCGAGGGUUAAAGGUAGAUAUUUUCAUCCGUGGACGCCUCGACUAACCGACCGACAACAUGAUGCGUUUCCUGCUCCUCUUCAGUCGCCAGGGCAAGUUGCGCUUGCAGAAAUGGUACACGCCCAUGUCUGAGCGGGAGAAGAAGAAGAUCAUCAGGGACAUGACCUCAGCCGUGUUGGCACGGCAACCGCGUACCUGUAACUUCCUGCACUGGAAAGACCUGAAGAUUAUUUACAAAAGAUAUGCAAGCUUGUAUUUUUGCUUGGCUAUAGAGAGCCAGGAGAAUGAGCUGCUUGCUUUGGAGGUGAUUCAUCGUUACGUGGAGCUGCUGGACAGAUACUUUGGCAAUGUGUGCGAGCUUGACAUAAUCUUUAACUUUGAGAAGGCCUACUUCAUCUUGGACGAGUUCCUAAUGGGAGGGGAAAUCCAGGAAACCUCCAAGCAGAUUGUGAACCACUCCAUCGAAGCGUCAGACAUGUUGCAGGAGGAUGGCAGCAAUGAUUGGUAUGAGGUGGAGCUGUUUGGACCUUGAAUAUGGACAGACAGGUUAGACGUUCUGCUUGUGUUAGUGACUGUGUGUCGGUGUUCUCAGCACCUUAAUUCCAGACAAUGGAGGAAUAUAUGAGCAAACCAGCAUUUUGACACAGGAAAAGGGACAAAGUAAGCUCAAGGCCUAAAAUUACAAAGAUGAUGACUACACGGAAACAGGAUUCAUUUUGAUUCUGCCAAACAUUCUCAAAAGAAGAGAGAAGGCUUCAUUUACAAGUAAAUAUAACAUAUCUUGGUUUUGCACUUGUUUGAAAGUGAAAGGAGUAAAAAUAUUUAACUGGUUUGCUCAAUGUUAAUAUAUAGGAAUUUAACCUUGUUAUAAUUUAUGAUUUGUCUAUUUAAACAAAUAAUGGCAAAGAGCAAAAAAAACAUUCCUGAAUGAAAUGUUUAUUCACUUUUUAAUCUGUCUAUUAUCAGAAUGAUUGUGCCACCUUUAUUCUGAGAGCUGGUGUGGGUGUGAAAAUUACAUGUUUUUUAUAACAAGCAGUUUGAAGUUUCUAAUUAAAUGUGUAUUUUGAUAAUUCAU